rnacentral:rRNA from 1 species
CCUACGGUGGACAGCAGUGGGGAAUAUUGCUCAAUGGGCGAAAGCCUGACGCAGCAACGCCGCGUGAAGGAAGAAGGCUUUCGGGUUGUAAACUCCUUUUAAGAGGGAAGAGUAGAAGACGGUAUCUCUUGAAUAAGCCACGGCUAACUACGUGCCAGCAGCCGCGGUAAUACGUAGGUCGCAAGCGUUGUCCGGAUUUACUGGGUGUAAAGGGCGUGUAGCCGGGCCGGCAAGUGAGAUGUGAAAUCCCAAGGCUUAACCUUGGAACUGCAUUUGAAACUGUUGGUCUUGAGUAUCGGAGAGGCAGGCGGAAUUCCUGGUGUAGCGGUGAAAUGCGUAGAGAUUAGGAGGAACACCAGUGGCGAAGGCGGCCUGCUGGACGACAACUGACGGUGAGGCGCGAAAGCGUGGGGAGCAAACAGGAUUAGAUACCCGGGUAGUC